CAUUCUUCAGAUUUGCAUCGUGUCAGAGUUCUGCUCCUCUUUUUUUUCAUCUUCAGACUUUUAGAUUUCAACAUUUUUGGACCUUCAUUCCUGAAACUUUCUCCACCAGCUCUUCGGUAUCCCUCCUGCUGCUGACUCUAGAACUCAUCUCUCUCCUGUCAUUCAGGUAUCCCUCCUGUUGCUGACUCUACAACUCAUCUCUCUCCUGUCAUUCAGAUGAACAUGAAGAUCUCUAUCUUUGCCAGUGUUCUGCUGCUCUCUGCUGCUCUGAUCUCUGUUGACGGUGCUCGUAAAAAGACACCGUUUGAAAUGAACCAUAUCGCACCGAACAUGACUCCUCAACAAUGUUACGAUAAGAUGGUUGGACUCCUUUACUCUAGGGAUAGUAAUUCCUUCAUCAAAGCGCGUAUCAGUGUGGUCGGAAAUGUGUGUAAAGGAGAAGGAACUCCUGAUGGACUUAAUUUUAUAAGCAAAGACUACUUUGAUGUUGUUAAGUGUGUAUUGAACCGCACUACUAAUCAAUACGACGCUAUACCCAAACAUUGUAAAAUUAUAAUUGCAUGUGGUAAUUAUGAACCUGUUCAUUAUGUAGGGGAGAGCAACAUCUGUCGUUAAUCUGUUACUACGUGAUGAAUCAGAGUAAUCUAUUACUACCUGAUGAUACUACCUGAUGAAUCAGAGUAAUCUAUUA